rnacentral:rRNA from 1 species
AUGCAAGUCCAAACCAAAGCCCAGCUUCUGCCGUCUCAACACGGCCACGAACCCAUCUCGAAACUGCCCCCAAUCCAACUCCAGCGCCUCCCAGCCCUCGCCGCCAUGGCAACCACCGACGACCCCACCGCCACCGGCGAGGUCCGGCGCCUCCUCGAGCAUCUCGACUCCCAGCAGCAACUCCUGGCCACCUGCCACGACGCCUGGUCGCGCACGCUCGCGCACUUCGCCUCGCUCGAUCAGGACGUCGCCUCCCGCUCCGCCUCCGUGGACGAGGCCCUGGCCGCCGCCGACGCGUCCACCUCCGAAUCCCUCGCGGCGCUCGAGGCACGCGAGGCCUCCGUGCCCGUGCGCCUCACCGAGGCCUCCGACGCGCUCUCGGCCGCCCUCGCCGAGGCCGAGGCCGAAUCCGCCGCGCCGCCGCCCGCCGACAUCCAUGGCGCCCUCAGGUGGAUAUGCCGCCGCAUGGACGCUGCCGCGCUCUGGCGCUUUAUGGCCGCGCGCCGCAGGGAGCUCGCCACCGUUCGUAAGGAGAUCGCCCCCACCGUAGCAGCGUCCGUGGACCCACCCCGCCUCGUCCUCGAUGUGCUCAGCGAUUUCCUGGAGGCCGGUGAAGGCGCCGGUGAAGACCAGUGCUGGGUGCUCGGCAUGCUGCUGCGCUCGUUGUUUGGUUCAGAUGGGCGGAAGCCGCCGGAGAUAGGAGAUACGUUGGUUGAGAGGGCGUCUGUGGUUGCAAAGAACUGGUCUGAGCGGUUUGGUAUCAAGAGAGACUCGCCAGCUCCCAUCAAUGAGGAGGUGGAGAUGACAGAAGCUGACGAUGCUGAUAAUGCAGCGUUGCCAGAUAAGAAAGUAGAGCAGGCAGAUGCAAAAGAGGAGGAGGAAGAGGAGGAGGUGGAGGAGGUGGAGGAGGAAGAAGAGGAAGAAGAGGAAGAGGAAGAAGAAGAGGAAGACCAGGAGGAGCUGGUGGCUGCAUCAGGUGAUGAGGAGGAAGAGAACCCAGAGGAAGUAGAAAAUGAAACACAGGAGGACCCAGAGGAAGCGGGGAUGGAAGCACUGAAGGAGAAGAAGGGAGAAGAGGUAAAGGUGGAGGUUCCUGCUGAUGAGAAGAUAGCUGAAGAAGCAGGGAAGAGCGAAGUUAAGGAAGAAACAAAGGCAAUGGGGGAAGUUGACAAGGAAGGGGAGAAGGGUGCACUGGGGCAAGUAGAAGCACAUUUAUUCCUGCAGAUGGUUGCGGCAUUUGGACUGAAAGACAAGUUUGAUGGAGAGUUCUUGAAGAGCCUGUUUGUUGCUAACCGUCGAAGGAAGGAACUUGCGAGGUUUGCCUUUAUCCUCGGGUUUGAGGAGACCGUCGCAGAUGUUGUUCAGGAAUUGGUUACUUCAGGAAAUGUAAUUGAGGCUAUAUAUAUUGCUCAUGAGGCAUGUUUGCUUGAGCGAUUUCCUCCUGCACCUCUUCUUAACUCUUAUAUAAAGGACUCAACUGAGAAGGCCCAGGCCAUUCUGAGUAGUGGAAGACGCUCCAGUUCUGCUGUUGAGGAGUCUAAGACCUUGGAGUGCAACGCCUGCAAGGCUGUCAUCAGGUGUGUCGAGUCCUGCCAGCUAGUAUCGGUAUUUAACAUCGAGCACUUAAAAAAGAAGGUGGCGAGGAUGGAUAGAGAGAAGGCUGACCGGAAGAGGCUAGGCAGCGGAAACAGAUUCCAGAACAAGCGAGCGCGGGGAGCAGCCGGACCUCAGUCCUUCCCUGCUGCCAAGUCCGCAAGGGCAUCAGGCUCAGGCUCAGGCUACGGGCCAUCAUUCCAGAACCCAGUGUCCCGUUCCUUUGGUUAUGCGGCUCGUGCUGGGUAUGUGAACCCGGCUGCUGCUGCUCAGCCCUACUAUGCGCCGGGGAGCAUGGCAGCGCGGCGUGGCGGCGUGUUGUAUGGCGGGCCUGGAGCAGCAUUCGGGGCGCAGCAGCCGUACCACCGCUAA